AAUCAACGCUGGCGGCGUGCCUCAGACAUGCAAGUCGAACGCGAAAGUCUCCUUCGGGAGGCAAGUAGAGUGGCGCACGGGUGAGUAACACGUAGGUAAUCUACCUUUGGAUGGGGAAUAACAACCGGAAACGGUUGCUAAUACCGCAUAACUGCAGCGGCACCUAAUGGUGACAGUUGUUAAAGCGGGGGAUCGAAAGACCUCGCGUCUGAAGAGGAGCCUGCGGCGGAUUAGCUAGUUGGUAAGGUAAUGGCUUACCAAGGCUACGAUCCGUAACCGGCCUGAGAGGGCGGUCGGUCACACU
rnacentral:rRNA from 1 species